AGGAUGAACGCUGGCGGCGUGCUUAACACAUGCAAGUCGAACGAUGAAGGCUGGAGCUUGCUCUGGCUGGAUUAGUGGCGAACGGGUGAGUAACACGUGAGUAACCUGCCCCAGACUCUGGGAUAAGCGCUGGAAACGGCGUCUAAUACCGGAUACGAGCUUCCACCGCAUGGUGAGGAGCUAGGAAAGAAUUUCGGUCUGGGAUGGACUCGCGGCCUAUCAGCUUGUUGGUGAGGUAAUGGCUCACCAAGGCGACGACGGGUAGCCGGCCUGAGAGGGUGACCGGCCACACGUGGGACUGGAGACACGGCCCAGACUCCGUACGGAGGCAGCGAGUGGGAAUAGUUGCACAAGUGGGACGCAAGUCCGUGAUGC
rnacentral:rRNA from 1 species